CACGUAGGGCGCAAGCGUUGUCCGGAAUUAUUGGGCGUAAAGAGCUCGUAGGCGGUCUGUUGCGUCCGCUGUGAAAACUCGGGGCUUAACCCCGAGCCUGCAGUGGAUACGGGCAGACUAGAGGUAGGUAGGGGAGAAUGGAAUUCCCGGUGUAGCGGUGAAAUGCGCAGAUAUCGGGAGGAACACCUGAGGCGAAGGCGGGCUACUGGGCUGAUACUGACGCUGAUGCGCGAAAGCCAGGGGAGCGAACGGG
rnacentral:rRNA from 1 species